rnacentral:rRNA from 1 species
UACGAAGGGGGCUAGCGUUGUUCGGAAUCACUGGGCGUAAAGCGCACGUAGGCGGAUUGUUAAGUCAGGGGUGAAAUGCCAAGGCUCAACCUUGGAACUGCCUUUGAUACUGGCAAUCUCGAGUCCGGGAGAGGUGAGUGGAACUGCGAGUGUAGAGGUGAAAUUCGUAGAUAUUCGCAAGAACACCAGUGGCGAAGGCGGACUCACUGGCCCGGUACUGACGCUGAGGUGCGAAAGCGUGGGGA